GUCGAUACUCAAAUGAUAGCUAUUGUUAUAGGAGAAUUUAGCCAACGGAAGGUAAGUAUCCCAACUACCUCAUGUUGGGUUUUGAGCAAUCUAACACUUCCUAAGUGUGCAUGCAACCCUAAUAAACCUUGGAUCUAUGUUUGUCUAAAUACAUGCAAAAUAAUAAUUUUCCAAGGUUCAUAACCUAUCUAACAUGGCAUGGGGUACUUUUAAACAUAAAAGAAUUAGAUGAGAUUACAUACCUUUUGAUGAUGAGUUUGAAUCCUAAGGAGUUUGAGGGCCAAGCACCAAUAGUGUGAAUGCCUCAAAUGGAAUCACAAAUCACCACAAACUCUUGGAAAACUUUGAGAGAGUGUAUACACACUAUAAAAUCGGCCACACACAAACACACAUACUCUAGUGACACUAGUCACACUAGUGGCUAUUUCAUGCAACAUAAGCAUGCUUAUAUAGUGUACAUGAUUAGGGUGAAACCCUAAUAACCCAUGACCUUUCCUUUUCCAAGGAUCCAUGGGUUAAAAGCUCCAUGGAUCAUCCAUGGACUUCCAUAUAAGCCUAGCCCAUUAACAAAUGAGUGUUAGCCCACACCAUAUAAAACAAUAGCCCACAAUUUAAUUAGUCUUCCUUUUAAUCUCUAAAUUAAUUCAUAAUUAAUUUAAGACUAAGACUAAUUAAAUAACAUGACUUCAUAUUAAUAUAUUAUAACUUAUAAUAUAUUAAUAAACAUAUGUGUAUAACUCUCAUAAAAUUAUCCAUAAAUAGUUUGGAUGAAAUGCAACCCAAAUGGACCAUGCCGGGUCGGGUCAAGUAUAUACCAAAUAAGUUAUGGACUUAGACACCUUAUCCAACAGACUCCCACUUGGAUAAGUCUAAUAACUAUAUUUGCGUAUGUUACUUCAGGAACCAACCAGCAAUCGUAGCUCUCGAAAACUCUGUUGAACUAUGAAGCGCCAUUUUAGAUAAGUGAUCAUAUAAUCCUCUGUUCUCAUGAUAUCAGCCGGACAAAUACAUGGAACAACGUCGUACUUAUUGUCCAGCAGUUUGUUUCCCGAUUUUCGAUUUGUUUGACAAAGAACUUAAUCGAACACAUCAAUUUAGUUCUGACCGGCCGGUACAUAGGUCACAACAAAAUCAUCGAGGGGCCCAGAUAUCGCUUCUAUUUCUAGAAGGAACAGAUAAACUUCGACUCAUAUGCUUGUUCUACUACUUGUUGAAUUGUACACAAAGGCACGUUUUAUAACAUCAAGUUACUGAUGCGUUUACGUGCAAUCAAUGCACAACCAACUCAUAGGUAACAACUCAUAUCUCUAGGUUUGAAGAUUUAUAUGAUAUUACCGUCUCACGAUCACUCGAGAUAAAUUCCAUGAAGUGAUACAAGUGAGCGUGGGUUUAUUCCAAUACUCAUAACUUAUGAGCACUCAUGAAUGUUGUAGCAACCAUUGCUAUGACUAAACCCAUUUAGCCAUCUACAAACUCGAUUCAUGACAGUCUUGAUUCAUACCUACUUCCAACAUAUGAACGACUGUGGAGUGUUUAAAUAACUUAGUCAUUCGGAAAGAAUAACCUAGCUAUUUUGGAAGUCAAAACAUGCAAAGUGAAACACAAUAAUAAUCGAAUCCAAUAUGGUCUCAGAACCCUUUUGAAUAUAAAUAGAACCACCUUUUAUUUAUCACCAUAUUGAUUACACAUUAUUCAUUGUAUAAUGUUUCAAACAAUCAACUUAAGACUUGAAUAAAAACAACAGUCGUCCCAUGCUCCUAGCAUGUACACUUUGUUUUUCUAAACAAUAGUUAUGCCAUACUCCAAGUAUGCACACUAUGUUUGUCUAUGAUCCUUACAUUGUGAUGUAGAUCAAUUGAACAUGAUUCCAAUGAUACUCAUUUCACAAUCCCAAAUCCUUAUUGUAAAUGUGAGAAUCCCCGAUUCCUAUCAUUUACCAAAAAAACUGUUAGAUUUUAAACUUUUAUGCAAUGUUCCUCUUGUAAUGAUUAUGCACAAAGUCACCAAAACCUUGUCACCAGUCAUUACAGAGUAUUCCAAAGAAGGUCAACUUCUAUGGAACGGAAGUCUCAUAUUCAAAGUACAUUGCUUUGAACAUCCUUCUUGCAUUAAGGUUUUCUAAUCUUACAUAGAUUGAAUAACUUCCACCUAUGGAGACAUUUCCAUAGUCCCAUUUUGACUAUCACUUCCGAACAAGAGUUACUUCUUUUCAGAAUAUGUCAAUAUGGUCCUUUCCGACAACUUACAUCAUACUUCCAACUUUCCCUGAGCAACCAAUCUUUGGCGAACCUCAGAUUGUCCUCGACAAUUGCUUAAUCACUUUAGUCAUAUCCAGUUCUAGACUUUUCCCUUCUCAAUGCCUUAAGCAUUUGGAAAAUUUAGAAAAGAUGAAUAUUAUAGCACAUGCAAUCGAUCCUAUAUCCGAAGCAUAUGGGACACGAUUCAUGAUGUUUGACAUAAAGACAUGAUACUAGACCAGUCUUUUGCUACAAUAUUUUUUAUUUGCCAUGUUUUCAAAAUUUAACUAUGAAGAGGGAUGCCGUAAUCAUAAUCGAAUUUUGAAAACGCAAUAUAUAUAGAAUUUCUUCAAGUUGAACCAUUCCAACAUAAAAUUCAUAUAUAUAUUCUUGACUAAAGAUGAUUAAAAUCUCAAUCUAAGCUUUAGAAUUGAAAUGAAGUAUAAUUUCCUCUCCCUUAAUUAUAGCAAAACAACUUUUCAACCCCUGCAACUUCACGAAUUGAAACUUUGUUUUCUAUAAUUAACAUUGCUAACUUGCAACACUAAACGUAAUAAUCAUGCUCCCACUAACAUGAUGAUUAUCAGCAUAACACUUAUGCUCCCACUAGCUCUGACAUAUUUCCAGAAAUCUGCUGGACUUCUGAAAUUUAGAUUCAUACACCCUUUCUUAGAUAGCUCACAUGUGUGUCUAAACAAUUUUCAGAACUAUGAAAAGGGAUGCCGUAAUCAUAGUCUCAAUUGCUUAGGCAUUUGCCAUUUCUCACAAGUCCAUGUUAGUGUGCCGGUUAACCACACGCGCUCCACUAACGACUUUUGAAAAUGCAAAUAACACAAUUGAUAUCUACGUAAAAUCUACUUAGUGAAAGCGUUUCCUCACCAUCAUUUUCAUGAAUCGGAGAGAAACCUUAUGACACUUAGAUUUUAUAGUGUAUGAGUUCCUAUCCAUGUGAAUUUGUCAAAACCAUAAUCACAAGAUAAGGUUAGUGACAAAUUCAGCCUUACAUGGAUUAAACUUGUUCAAUCUUAGUUUCUUGUCACCUUGGUAGCACAAGGCCCACCAAUGCUUCCAAGUUGAACUCUGAUAACUCACAUGCAAAUUCAACUUAUUUGAAGUAGGUACAGAAAUAAGAAUUAUGUCAACACGAUAGGUUGCAAACCUUAAGUCGUGUGCUAGUGAUAAAUUACAGGUUUUACUCUUGAUUAAAUCUUGAAACUCUUUCAGGAUCUUUAAGGCUCCCACUGUCCCCUUGACAUAUAAGUUUCCCCAGUCAAGAACCAUUCCUUGACAAAACAAAUAUUCAAGGGAUAGUGCGGAUUCUUAUCAAGACUAACACUUCACACAAUUGGUCUUAGUUGGUCUUUGUCUCAUCCAAGACAUCACAACUUACCAAUCUCAAAUGUACAAGAGUAGAAAACAUUUUACUCUUACAUUUGACUAGUGUUAAUAAAUCUUCCUUUAUGUCACUCAAAGUUACAAUCUUGGAGUAUGACUCUAAGAAUUGUUUUGGAACGAAGUAUGACUCAUCUUCUUGAUUUUAACCAAUCCAACAAUUCAUGACCUCUCUUCUUAGCCAUAACAAUGCACUAAGACGUCCUUAGAGUAUGAAUUUGUGAUAUGGUUUCAUAAUCAUUAAGAUGAUCAUGAAAUACGAUACUAAAGUACUCUCCCAUCCUUUCAGAUUUGAGAAACUUUUAUCUUUCUGCCUAAUUUGAUUCUUCUCAUUUGUUUUGUCAUACAUUGUAACCUUUCCAAUGUUACAGAAUUAUACUUAACCUCAUAAGUAUAAUCAUAUUUACUAAUCUUUAGUAAAUCAUGACAAAUCAAUCUUUGUGGUGGACCUUGACCAGCGCACACCCAGUGUACCUAAUUCCUUAGUCCUUCAAUUGACUCACAUAUACAUGUGAUCAAAGAAUUAGUCUUAAUUUUCAAAGAUGAAAAUUCUCAUUCAUCAUACAAUACAACUUGUAUGAUUCCAAGUUUCUGUCCAAUUGAAACUUGGGUGAUGAAAAACUUUCUUCAUUUGGUAAAUUCAGACACUACCACAAAUGAAAGAAUCAAAUCCACUUUCCAAUAUUGCUAUUACUGGAAACAUAUAAGCAACAAUUUUCCACAGAUGCCAUUGUAAGGAUAUUUUUAAAAUAAAUAAAAUUAAAACCCUUUUUUUUUUUUUUUUUAAAACUUUGCGGAAAAACUUAUCCUUACAAUCCACAUGAAAACCUUGUUGUUAUCUAUUCAUAAGCAAUAUAUUAUAACUCUUAAGCAACAGCUCAAAAUUCUGAUUACCGAACCAUGCGAUCGAAACCCACCUUCGCAAUCAGAAUCAACAUAUACUUACUUUAAGCUUCCUAUCUUUUCUUUGAUUCUUAAAAACAUCAGCAUGUGACCCAUUCACAUUAUGUAAUAAGAAUCUCCAAAUAGGAACUUAAUAGAGUUAGACAGUGGACUUUACCCGAAGUAGAGUCAAACCUCUUGACUUGAUCAACCUUAUGACCUUUCAGGUGAAUAGGGCAGCUUCGCAACCAAUGCCCCUUCCUUUGGCAACAAAACACAUGGACCCUUUGGUAAUGGCACAUGAGACUAUCUCAGACUUAGCCUUUCUCUUUACCAUUUGGUCAACCGAGUUGACUAUGGCCGAUCCCUUUCCAUUGGGAAGAGAAAUCCUUUUCUAGAUAUCCAAUGCUACCAUUGUCAAUGUCCAUUUAAGACUUGGGAAGUUGUUCUUUUAAUCAAAUUUGCUUUACUGGUGUUCCAAAUCAUUGCUGAUUCCACAACACCAAGCAAAUAGAUAACAUCAUUAAGGGUCAUGUCAUAGUCUGUCUCAUAGUAGUCCCAAAGAGACUCACUAUGUUACUAAGAAAGUGAUUGAACAUCCAACUUUCACGAGACUUUGACACCCAACUCUCCCGGCUUGUCAAUAUGUGACUUUAUCUCCAAGAUGUGAGCACACAUAGACUAUGCUUGCCAAUAGGGAUUGAGUGACUUUAAACUUUUCAAGAACUUGUGGGUGAGGGAGAAUAAUUGGAGGAGGUGGAGGAAGUGAAGCAUGAUGUUGAGGGACACCAUCUUCAAGAGAUUUGGGAAGAUCAUAGUUGUCUGAACCAGACAUCUAUAAUGGGAGAAAAUCAAGUUAGUUGAUUCAAAGUCCUUAAUAUAACACCCAAUAUGAAAUAUUAAGGCUAGGACCCAACACAAUAUUUUAUAAUUUGGAAGAGGGAUGCCGUAAUCCAAGCUAUAAAAUAUUUGAAGGUAGGCGAAUGACGAUUCACCAAUUUCCACCAUGAAAAACGAAAUAAUUUAUUAGGUUUUAAUUGGAUUUGAAAUUCCUAGAUCUUUUGAGAUUCAUUGAACUUUUCAAUGGCAUGUUUCAAUCUCGAGUGUGCCCUCUCAAAUUUUGUGACUGGGAUGCCGAGGAUCACAAAACAAGGUGUGAAUAACCAUACCAAUUCACUUGGUACCCUUAAUAUUAUCACCUAAUCAAUGUGCCGGUUAACCACACACGCUCCAUUGAUCUAUGACAAACAUUAAGUCACCCUUCGUGAUCCUUACUAGUCCAAGUUAGUGUGCCGGUUAACCACACACGCUCCACCAACGACUUGGUAAGGUACAAAGUGUGAAUUCCAUGGGCUAGCACCAAAUUCACAUUUUUCCUAAAGUAACUAAGAUUGGGAAUUAAAUAAAAAAUUUUUAGUUACUUUAUAAUAAUCAUUAUACUUUUAAUGAGAAUUUAAAGUCAUUGUCCUACCCGUUCGGCUAACGACCCUCCACCGAUCAAGCAAGCGGUGGGUGAGAGUGGACACCCAUUAAGUCGCCAUUUUAUAGGCAACAACCUUAUACCCACCUUAUAGACCGGCUUCGUGAAUGAGGCCUACUAACGGUAAAACGACUUGUUCUUAUACAUAUAUAUAAUAAUUAACCAUUAAUGUUAUAAAUAGUAUAAGUGUUGAAUUUUAACUUUUAAAACUCUAAGUGUUGGAAUUAAAGUUUAUUAAAGUGUGUGAAACUUUUCAAAUUCCAAAACUUGAGGGCAAGUUUUGUAACUAUCCAAAACUUUUCAUUUCAUAACUUAUGAAUUAAAGGUUCAUAAAAAUGAAGACUCUUCAUUUUCAUGUAACUUAUGUGUUUAAAUGUGUGUGUUAAAGAAAAGUGACCUUUGGAUAUCCAUAACUUGAGGACAAAUUAUGGACUCCAUUAAAACACAUAAAUGAUCAAGAAUUAAUUCUAAACAAUUCAGCAAAUAAUUCCUAUCAUCUUCUAAAUUCAUAAGAACAUGAACAUGAUCAUCAAAAUUUCAAGAAUUAUAUGAACACAUAAAAAUCAUGGAAUUUUGAUAUAUGCUAUUGUAAAUGGAUUAGAACAACCAUUACACCAACUAAAACAAGUUUUAAAACACCAAAACAGUUUAGGGUAAUGUUUCUAGUCCAUUUCCAGCAGCAAAAGUCGAAAUUCUGCAUUCUGAUCAUUCUACUCGCCGAGUGCACGAACCUACUCGCCGAGUAGGAUGAAUUUUGCCUUGAACUCGGCGAGUCCCCCCAUGGACUCGGCGAGUCCAUCAGCCAGACAGCAACAAUUUCAACUUUUUUCACUAUUUUGCAUCAAGUAUCAAACAAGCAAGCCUAGGCUCUGAUACCACUGUUGGGUUUUGAGCAAUCUAACACUUCCUAAGUGUGCAUGCAACCCUAAUAAACCUUGGAUCUAUGUUUGUCUAAAUACAUGCAAAAUAAUAAUUUUCCAAGGUUCAUAACCUAUCUAACAUGGCAUGGGGAACAUUUCAACAUAAAAGAGUUAGAAGAGAUUACAUACCUUUUUGAUGAGUUUGGUUCUUAAGGAGUUUGAGGGCCAAGCACCAAUAGUGUGAAUGCCUCAAAUGGAAUCACAAAACACCACAAACUCUUGGAAAACUUUGAGAGAGUAUACACACUUGUAUUUUUGGCCACACACAAGCACACACACACUAGUUCACUAGUUGCCAUUUCAUGCUCCAUAAGCAUGCUUAUAUAGUGUGCAUGGUUAGGGUGAAACCCUAAUAACCCAUGACCUUUCCUUUUCCAAGGAUCCAUGGGUUAAAAGCUCCAUGGAUCAUCCAUGGACUUCCAUAUAAGCCUAGCCCAUUAACAAAUGAGUGUUAGCCCACACCAUAUAAAACAAUAGCCCACAAUUUAAUUAUUCUUCCUUUUAAUCUCUAAAUUAAUUCAUAAUUAAUUUA
rnacentral:lncRNA from 1 species